rfam:Alcanivorax dieselolei B5, complete genome.
CGGCCGGGUAAACAACGACACACACGUUCCGACACAUGGCUCGGGGUGCUUCCAGGCGCUUCCUCUCUAUUUAUUAGGGAACGGGAGACCGGAGGUUGGGUCAUGAGGGGACGUGGAGGCCUAAC